CAAUAUUUGAAAUGUAAAUCAGAAUAAAAUCAAUUCAUUUGAAGUAAAAUAAAUACCAUUAUACUCUAUUUUGUCCAUAUGAUCAACACUUGUACAUAGUGCCAUUUACUUUGUGUUCUUCACUCUCGCGCUGUGUGGUGAUCGUUCGAAACUCAAGGCCAGAACGAAUGCAAAUUUCAUAUGGGAAGGAUUGGUGCCGGUAGAUGCGAAAAUUAUUAAAUGUGAAUAGAAAAGUGGUUAAGUAAAUCGUGAAAGAUGUCAACGCAGGCGUAAAUGCAGUAUGUUUUGUUACAUGAUCUACGGCUAUUUCAUUACCAAAGCUCUUGAUAACAGAUCAAAGCAGAUGGAUCGGACAUACAGAGUCGCCGUUUAAUUUAAAAUAUCUGCGUGAUCGCAAACGCAUCAAACAGCAAGUGUUUUCCUUCCAACAGCAC